rnacentral:snoRNA from 1 species
UGUACUGGUGAUAACUAGUAAUAGGAAGUGCCGUCAGAAGCAAUAACUGACGAUAUACUUGAUCUGACU